rnacentral:rRNA from 1 species
CCUACGGGUGGCAGCAGUGAGGAAUAUUGGUCAAUGGGCGCGAGCCUGAACCAGCCAAGUAGCGUGAAGGAUGACUGCCCUACGGGUUGUAAACUUCUUUUAUAAAGGAAUAAAGUGAGGCACGUGUGCCUUUUUGUAUGUAAUUUAUGAAUAAGGAACGGCCAACUCCGUGCCAGCAGCCGCGGUAAUACGGAGUAUCCGAGCAUUAUCCGGAUUUAUUUGGUUUAAAGGGAGCGUAGAUGGGUUGUUAAGUCAGUUGUGAAAGUUUGCGGCUCAACCGUAAAAUUGCCAUUGAUACUGGCAGUCUUGAGUACAGUUGAGGUAGGCGGAAUGCGUGGUGUAGCGGUGAAAUGCUUAGAUAUCACGAAGAACUCCGAUUGCGAAGGCAGCUUACUAAACUGCCACUGACAUUGAUGCUCGAAAGUGUGGGUAUCAAACAGGAUUAGAUACCCGGGUAGUC